UACAGAGGUGGCAAGCGUUGUUCGGAAUUACUGGGCGUAAAGGGCGCGUAGGCGGCUUGGUCAGUCCCGUGUGAAAUCCCUCGGCUCAACUGAGGAACUGCACGGGAAACUGCCUGGCUUGAGUUUGGGAGAGGGAUGCGGAAUUCCAGGUGUAGCGGUGAAAUGCGUAGAUAUCUGGAGGAACACCGGUGGCGAAGGCGGCAGCCUGGACCAAUACUGACGCUGAGGAGCGAAAGCCAGGGGAGCAAACGGG
rnacentral:rRNA from 1 species